UGGACCGAUGAUGACAAGGGUCAGCACUAUAAGUCACUGACGAUGACUACAAUAUUUCUGUCUGAGGUUCAC